AAAAACUUUCGUUAAAGCUAUCGAUAGUUCACCAACUUAUCAUCAUCAGUUUUAUGAAACUUAUCAUCAGCUUUUUCACUUGUAAUUAGUAAAGCAGGUUGUAAAAAGUAAAUCAUGACUGACGACGUAAAAAGAUUUUUUAAUAAUUUGAUAAACAAAGUGAACAACUUGUAUUUAAUUCUCAUAACUGAUAGGGAUGGAGUGCCAUUAUUAAGGGUUUCUCACAAUAAAAAUAUGGAUUUAGCUUUAUUUCCUACUUUAAUUCCUACUUUUACUACCUCCAGUGACCAAGCAACUAAAUUAGGGUUAGGGAGAAAUAGAACUAUUAUUUCUAUUUAUUCUAAUUAUCAGGUUGUCCAAAUGAAUAAGUUACCUUUGAUUGUAACAUGUAUUGGGAAUGAAAAUUGCAAUAUUGGCCACAUUCUUGCUUUGGAAAAACAAAUAGACAAUUAUCUGGAUGAACUAAAAUUUGCGGUAACUGAGUCAUAGUUGGCUUGUCCAAGCAUUGUGGAAGCAAAAUAUGUGUAUUUUUUCAAUUUUUAUUACAUGAAAAAUACUUCCGAAGCAGGGUGGCAGAAUACAAUCAGGUGCACACAAAGCAAGCGACAUUGUGUUUUUGGUGUCCUUCUCGAGAUAUAAGCUCUAUGUCGACUACGAAAAUGGUCCAACUUUUGCAUUUUCAUAACUCGUGCAAUAAACUUUGAAAUAUAAUUGAAACAACUGCCUGCGCGCACUAAGAUACUCAUGAAAUUACUCUUCAAAUGCGAAUCUUUGGC